AAUCAACGCUGGCGGCGUGCCUCAGACAUGCAAGUCGAACGAUUAAAGCUCUCUUCGGAGAGUGUAUAGAGUGGCGCACGGGUGAGUAACACGUAAGUAAUCUACCCUCGAGUGGGGAAUAACAACCGGAAACGGUUGCUAAUACCGCAUAAUGCAGCGGCACCGCAAGGUGACAGUUGUUAAAGAUUUAUCGCUUGAGGAGGAGCUUGCGGCAGAUUAGCUAGUUGGUAGGGUAACGGCUUACCAAGGCUACGAUCUGUAACCGGUCUAAGAGGACGGUCGGUCACACUGACACUGAAUAACGGGUCAGACUCCUACGGGAGGCAGCAGUCGGGAAUUUUGGGCAAUGGGCGAAAGCCUGACCCAGCAACGCCGCGUGAAGGAUGAAGUAUUUCGGUAUGUAAACUUCGAAAGAAUAGGAAGAAUUAAUGACGGUACUAUUUAUAAGGUCCGGCUAACUACGUGCCAGCAGCCGACGGUAAAGUCGAUAUCG
rnacentral:rRNA from 1 species